AUGGAGAAAGAAGUGGGGAAGAAGAUUAGUUUGCGAUCUCCUCAAACAAAUUCAGCCUUUCAGAAACUCUUUGGACUUCCACCCGAGGAAUUUCUCAUCAAUGAUUUCACCUGUCAUUUGAAAAUAAAAAUGCCCCUACAGGGUCGUAUAUUUGUUUCAGCAAGAAUAAUGGGAUUUCAUGCAAAUUUGUUUAGACACAAGACAAAAUUCUUUUUGCUUUGA